rnacentral:rRNA from 1 species
UUUACACUCUUGACCUCGGAUCAGGUAGGGAUACCCGCUGAACUUAAGCAUAUCAAUAA